UCCUUUCCAGAUAACAGAGGCAAUGAGACUGUGGAGAGAGACCAGCUACAGACCAGUUACAACACACUGACUGAAGAGAGAGACCAGCUACAGACCAGUUACAAAACCCUGACUGAAGAGGAGACCAGCUAAAACCCAUUUACAACAUUCUGACUAAAGAGAGACCAGCUACAGACCAGUUACAACACCCUGACUAAAGAGAGAGACCAGCUACAGAUCAGUUACAACACCCUGACUAAAGAGAGAGACCAGCUACAGAUCAGUUACAACACCCUGACUAAAGAGAGAGACCAGCUACAGAUGGAUAGAGAUGAUCUCACGUCAAAGUUCUCUAAUCUGAAACAAACCUGUCCUGAAGGCUGGCAGAUUAAGUUGGAAUCCAGUUGGUACUUCCUGUCUACUGAGACUAAAAGCUGGAAGGAGAGCAGACAGGACUGUCUGAAGAGAGGAGCAGACCUGGUGAUCAUAAACAGUGAUUUGGAACAGGAGUUUCUCUUAAGCUUCAAUAAGAGAGCCUGGAUUGGUCUGACUGACUCUGUUACUGAGGGGGCCUGGAAAUGGGUGGACGGCACCCCACUGACCAUCCCAAGGUAAGAGACUACUGCUCUAUAAUAACAAUAA